GGUUUCAAUUUCUAUUUUCCCCAAUUUCUAAACCCUACCCUUCAAUCUUGUCAAUUCAACGCCAGUCAAUCCUCCCAUCAGCAAUAUGCCCAGUACUGUGGCUUCCUCUGUUCGCCUUCGUUCCCAUAUCUAGUUCCCAAUCUGAGACUCUUUCUCAGACGUGGUGUCGCAGUUGCAGUCGUUCUCUUGGGUUCAGUUCGCAAGCUUAGCUGCUGCCACCAGUGGCCUCUUCGGGUGCCGUCGGAGGUGUGGAUGUUAGCGACGGAACCUAUCUGGUAGUGUAUGAUUGGGUUUAUAUGCAUCACUGAGGGCUAAUUUGGUCAUUUUAUCCAAACUCUCGGGACAAAGUCAGAAAUUGGACCCUUGUGUCGCGGACAACUCAGCGUAUGACGUCAUAAAUUUGGUUGAACAAGUUCAAGGUAAUCUCUCCUCACAGACACCAACUCAAGUGAGCACGUCAACACCAGCCAACACACCAAUUCAAGCAAAUGUGACUUCAAGAACACAAACUCAAGGUAUGUGUGGAGGUAGAGCUGGCAAAGGAGGUGCGCUAUGAGGUAGAGGUAAACAAAAUAGUGCACUGAAUCAACAAGAAUAUCAUGUACCAUCAGCAGCAGCUAAUAGGGAGGUAAAUCGAGAAGGCCAUGUGAGGCCAGUGCCAAGGCAAUAUACAGCUCUAAUAAGCACACAAGCAACUGAAAAUUGGCAAAUCGGCUAGUACAAGAACUACACACUCUUCAAUAGGUACACCAUCAGGGUCGUGGAGACCGUAGAGGUCAUGAAACUUCAUAAUCUAGUGAUGGGGUGACCAUUUUUGUGAUAUCCAAGUUGGGAUAAAAACAUUUAAUUAUAUAUCUUAUGUAGAGACUAUUUUGUGUAGGUUCAUUGAUCUUAUUCUCAGACAAGUGAGAUAAAACUAUGUGAUGUUUUUGUUUAAUUUGAGUAUGAUGAUGGAUUGAAUUGAAUG